UGUAACGGGGCUGACAAGACGUGAGACAUGCGGAUCCAUGUGCAGGCUUUAUUAAGCAGAGAGGUCAGAAACACAGGCAGGGUCGAACAAGGGCAAACAGGAAUAUGGCGGGUAAGACUCAAGAAUAAUCCUAGGGCUAGCGAAGGUCAACGAACGGCGAACAGAG